ensembl:lncRNA CASC15 cancer susceptibility 15
CUGUCCUUCCAGCUGCCACCAGUUUCUGGGUUGUCGAGUGAUACCCUGAAAGUUUACAGUCAACACUCCUUGUGUGGGGUCAGUCCUAGAAAUGGCGACGCUGCUCUCCGAAGAUAGGAAAGAAAAGGACCUCAUUCCAUUGAGCCAUUGACCGAAAUAUUUUCUCAACAAAGUUGAACUGAGCUGAAACUGUGUGAAUCAUGGCAAUACAGUGAAAGACAGUGAUUUACUGCUUUUGAGGGCGUGCAUGUAUAUGAUUAACGGAUGGAAGUGCAGGACUCCAAGAUUUACUUCCUUCCCUUUCCAGCAGAAUUACCUGAGACGAGUAAAAUCUACUGGUGGAGUCACUCCAUUAUUCUUAUCUGUGGAGAUCUAGAUCUUGAUUUGAAAGUUUCUGAGAAAAUCUUCAGCUCAGACUUGAGGGUCAACUUUACCAGCUGAAGGAUCUGCAUUUACUGCUCAACCACAUCUAAUUUGAUGUCCUCUGCAGAUUUAAAAUGUGUGCCUUCUUUUCCGUCACCAAGUCAUCCCUGGGUUACUACUGAACAUCCUUCUCAAUUCCCCCCGACCCAUGGAUGGCUGUUCUCCAUUGUCUGUUUCACCAGAUGUCCUCAAAACAAACAGACAGAAGAAGGAAGUGGCUAAUGUGAUGGGCUGUUGCCAGCUUCUACUUACUGCCCCAGUCCCAGCAUGGACUGAGUAUUUGCUCUGAGAAAGCAGUUCCUCACAUGUCAUCUGAAAUGAGUAUCAAUGUGGACUUCUGACAUACUGGUUUAGCCUUUUUUGUAUGAUAUCACAUAUGCAGUUGUUUCCUGUGGUGCUUGUAAAUAUCCUAAAUGUACAACUAAAAUUGAAUUGUCUUUUUGAAACUUUUAAAUUGUUUUUGAACAGAGGGUGCUAUUCUCAACAUUACAUAAAGUACAGAAGAAGUCAAAGAAAACACUGCUAUUCUGAUCUGAGAGCAAUCUUUAGGAAAAGCCUGUACAUUACAAGAGAGAGACAGACACACAUGGAAACAGAGAAACACACACGCAGAUCAAGGCAGAGAGAGGCAGACAGAAAUGGAGACUGAGAAGGAGAGAGGAGGGUGGAGUUGUAUAUUCUGUGAAGUGUAGGCCUUUUGGAAAAAUCAAGACCCAAAACAGAGUUGAAAUUUACUCUUCUUAUAAAUAUACCUUCCUACUGAGGAAACAAUGAUGAAAGAACUUCCAGAAGUAAUUUUUUGCGGACAAUAAAAUGUGGAGGGAAAAAUCCUGUACAUCAUCUUUACUGUCAUACAUUGUCACAGGAUUUAGAGGGGAAAUAUGCUUUUAUCUGGGGAAUUAGGGCUCUAUUGCUAAGCAGCUGAGUACAGGUAUUUUCACUUUCCCUGCACAGUUAUCUCCAAACAAUAUUUGCAAAUAAAAUAGUUAUUUCAUUUUUCAAUAUCCAAAUAUAAUUUUUAACUAUAUAGUAAGUCAUACUUAGUAUAGAAAAUUUGGAAAAAUACAGAAAGACCUCCAGAAAAAAAUAAAAAUAACCUGCAAUCAUAUAAUCUAGAGGUAAUUUGAAUGUAUUUCCUUUUAGAAUGUGUUUCUAUGUGCUUAUGUCUAUAUGUAUUUUUUAUAUAAGUGGAAUCACACUGCACAUACAUUUUAGAUUCUUCACUUCUC